AUACUUACCUGGCAGGGGAGACACCAUGAUCAGGCAGGUGGUUUUCCCAGGGCGAGGCUCAUCCCCUGCACUCCGGGUGUGCUGACCCCUGCGAUUUCCCCAAAUGCGGGAAACUCGACUGCAUAGUUUGUGGUAGUGGGGGACUGCGUUCGCGCUCUCCCCUG
ensembl:snRNA U1 U1 spliceosomal RNA